GACGAACGCUGGCGGCGUGCCUAAUACAUGCAAGUAGAACGCUGAAGGGAGGAGCUUGCUCUUCUUGGAUGAGUUGCGAACGGGUGAGUAACGCGUAGGUAACCUGCCUUGUAGCGGGGGAUAACUAUUGGAAACGAUAGCUAAUACCGCAUAACAAUGGAUGACCCAUGUCAUUUAUUUGAAAGGGGCAAAUGCUCCACUACAAGAUGGACCUGCGUUGUAUUAGCUAGUAGGUGAGGUAACGGCUCACCUAGGCGACGAUACAUAGCCGACCUGAGAGGGUGAUCGGCCACACUGGGACUGAGACACGGCCCAGACUCCUACGGGAGGCAGCAGUAGGGAAUCUUCGGCAAUGGGGGCAACCCUGACCGAGCAACGCCGCGUGAGUGAAGAAGGUUUUCGGAUCGUAAAGCUCUGUUGUAAGUCAAGAACGAGUGUGAGAGUGGAAAGUUCACACUGGAC
rnacentral:rRNA from 1 species